rnacentral:rRNA from 1 species
CGUGUAGGCGGUCGGUCAAGUCCGAUGUGAAAGCCCGGGGCUCAGCUCCGGAAGGGCAUCGGAAACUAGCCGGUUAGAGCGCGAUAGAGGAGGGUGGAAUUCCUGGUGUAGCGGUGAAAUGCGUAGAUAUCAGGAGGAACACCGGCGGCGAAGGCGGCCCUCUGGAUCGUUGCUGACGCUGAGACGCGAAAGCGUGGGGAGCAAACAGGAUUAGAUACCCUGGUAGUCCACGCUGUAAACGAUGGGUACUAGGUGUUCGGGGUAUUGACCCCCUGAGUGCCGCAGCUAACGCAUUAAGUACCCCGCCUGGGGACUACGGCCGCAAGGUUAAA